CACAGAGAGACACAUGGACACACAUCUAAAGUAAGUCAUACGUCAGCCUGGCUAAUGAUGCACUGUGUCACCUACAAUCAAUAAAAACCUCUUGUUAACAUUAUUUAUGGAAUAAUACUUCUUCCAGCUAUGAUGAAAGAAAAAGGAAAAUGGAAAAAGACUACCCAAAGAACACAGAAGAGGAAUUCUCAGGAGUUAAUGGCCAAAUAGAUGCCGCCGUGGAACUAAAUGGCUACAUUUACUUCUUUUCAGGACCAAAAGCGUACAAGUAUGAUACAGAGAAGGAGGAUGUGGUCAGUGUGCUGAAAUCUAGCUCCUGGAUUGGCUGCUAAUCAGAAAGGUCUAGUGUUUUCUGGGGAGUGUUCAUGACCACCAGCAGCUGGUCCCUGGACCGCAAGGACUAAAGCAGGAUGUAGGAUAGGGAUUCUUCCCACGGCCUUCAAUCCUAAGGGCAACUUAGAGUUCAUCGAAAAGAAUUAAGCUUCUAAAUGUUGUCAUGGUUGCAGAUUCAUAAAUCUAAUCUAAAUGGGCAAUUUCCGUAUGGUCAGCUUCACAUAAAAUCAGAAUUGACACAAUGCUCUCUUCCAUGAGACACCCACUGCCUUUUUUUUCUUACCUAAUAUAUGGAGGCAAAUUGAUAAAUUUGGUUUUUGUUACCAAGAAGACACCUAUUUGUGGAUUCCCUACAUGCAUUAUAACUCUAAUAGGCAACAUCAUUGCCGUACAAACUGUAAUUACUCUUUAUAAGCAGUGGCUUUUGUGGCCUCUGCAUUCAUUGUGAUGAAUACAAAUCUGUCUGUCUUUACCUUGGACACAUCACAAACAAAAUACCGUGUAAAUCUUGUUUCUCGUUGUUUGUUGAUUAGCUCCAUGUACUCACUGGUCUUUGAAGUAGGUCAUAGCAGGCAAACCUAUUCAAAUGAAUUUUCACGCUAGGCAAGAGAUGGACACUUGGCAAGAGGAAAACUUUUAACAAAAGCCAAUAAAAAUGUCUAAGAACA